rnacentral:rRNA from 2 species
GCGUCUUAACAUGCAAGUCGAACGAUUAAAGCACCUUCGGGUGUGUAUAAAGUGGCGAACGGCUGAGUAACACGUGGGCAACCUGCCCCUCUCAUUGGGAUAGCCACGGGAAACCGUGGAUAAUACCGAAUACUUCGAGACUUCCGCAUGAAAGACUCGAGAAAGCUCCGGCGGAGAGGGAUGGGCCCGCGGCCUGUUAGCUUGUUGGUGGGGUAACGGCCUACCAAGGCAAUGAUGGGUAGCUGGGUUGAGAGACCGACCAGCCAGAUUGGGACUGAGACACGGCCCAGACUCCUACGGGAGGCAGCAGUGGGGAAUCUUGCACAAUGGGCGAAAGCCUGAUGCAGCGACGCCGCGUGCGGGAUGAAGGCCUUCGGGUUGUAAACCGCUUUCAGCAGGGACGAGGCGAAAGUGACGGUACCUGCAGAAGAAGCCCGGCUAAUAC